UACUGUUAAUUGUGCCUUUUAUCAUGGGAAUUUUAUUACUUUAAUAAAUUUAGAUUUUUUCCAAGUUUAAGAAAGAAUCCAGUUCACACUUUUUUAUUCUCUUCUCCUUCUGUUUCCUUGAAUUUAGCUGUUGACAGUGUCUUGAAGAGGAUGACAAUAAUUGGUGUAAUUUUAUCCUUCCGAUCAUUGGCACAAGAAGCACUUAGAGAUGUCUUAUCCUACCACAUUCCUUUUCUUGUAAGUUCAAUUGAAGAUUUUAAGGAUCACAUUCCAAGGGAAACUGAUAUGAAGGUAAUAAUAUAAUUUAUAGUUGGGGUUUACAGUCUCUAAAGCGAAAUAUUUAAAUUACAUAUGCAAUAAAAUGUAAUAAAUCCUAAACUACUGUAAAGUUUCUAGUUUAGAGUGGUUAGUUAGCAUGCUUGCCUUUGUAAUUGAAUCUUUGAGAGCUCAGCACCAAAAUACUACCUAGGCAUUUUGAAAGUCAGUCUUCUUUGAUCACCUAUAGCAAUGCAAAAUUGACUAAAAAUAUAUUUUUUUUCCUUAAAUGGAUAGCUGUUUAUACAUGGUGAUAAAGAAAAUUAAGAAAGAUGAGGUGGCCAGGCACGGUGGCUCACGCCUGUAAUCCCAGCACUUUGGGAG
rnacentral:sRNA from 1 species